UCUAGAUUUCGACAUAGAGCGAUAUGACGUUUAACAGCGAGUUCCUUUUAUUUUAUUUUAACAAAGUGAAGUUACCGAUUACCAGCGGUUAAUUUUCUUUAUGAAUAAGCAUUCAGUUUACGCAUAAGAUCCCGAUAUGGUAGGAAAAAAAUCGUGGUUUCUAGAAAAUUGUAAAUCGACAUCGAAAGAGAAGCCACAUGAGGUUUUGUAUGGAAAUAUUGAAGACUAAGAAUUGGUUUGAGACUUUAUUUUAUUCCUUUCCAUAUAAUUUGAGAGAAUAGUUCUUCCUGACGUCCUUUCGUAAAAAUCGAUCAGUUUAUAUAUCUUAUUUUAACUCAAAGAUCGUUCAAUUAGGAAGAAACGAAAAAUCGAAAAUAGAGGAUGAAAACAAGGAGUUGAAAAAAAGAGAGCGAGUCCAAAUAAUGGAAAAUAUAUACAAAUCAAAAAAGAAAUAGAGUUUUAUUAUAGAUAUAGCCUUUGUGAAAAAAAUAAAAAGUUAGAGGAGAUAGGAAUUGAAAGAAUAGGCAUGAUACCCUCUUUUAAAACAAAACAUUGUGAAUUUGUAAAGAUCAAACGAUGUUUCAUCAAACAUUGAUAGAGCUGAUUGUUUCAUCUAUUGUUUAUUGGUUCUUUUGGAUAUAACAAUUUGUCUUGGUAAUUCAAAUUUGGAUCAAUAAGUGGUAGUAGGAUUGAUAUGGUUUUGGAAAUUUUGUGAUAAGUUUUUUAAAAUUAUUAAAGAUUUAGAUUUGGAUCAUAGUAUAAAGUACUUUUUCUGAAUUAAUAAUAUCAGAAUUAUAAUAAUCAUAGUAAAUGUUAGUAUAGGAUUAUAUGAUUUGACAAAGUAACUUAUGUAAUCUUAAUUUAUAACUAAUUCACAAAGUAAAUAAUAAAACGAUAUUAUAG